ensembl:processed_transcript
UUUUAGCAUGGUCGUCUAAAAAGCCUUAACAGAAGAUAUGAUUUGAACCAGUGAACCGAUCUCAUCCGUACUUACCCCAGGGCCGUUUAUAUCAAAGUUGAUAUUAAGCCUCACCAUAUUGGUGUUUUGUAACAUCUCAUUUUUAUGAGGUGGGUCGUUAGCCCAACGCUCAACCCUCUAGGACAUGCACUCAUACACUACGGGCGAUUUAGCUUACCCAAUUCACCUAUUGUGCAUAUGUUUGGACUUGUGGGGAAAACAUGCAAACUCCACACAGAAAUGCCAACUAACCGAGCCGGGACUCAAACCAGUGGCCUUCUUGCUGUGAGGCGACAGUGCUAACCACUGCGCCACCGUUACCUUCCACAUCCAUCAUAGACCAUGCUUUUCACAGACAUCAGACAGUGAUUCUCAGGAUUCAUUCAUUUUCUUUCGGCUUAGUCUCUUAAUUAUCAAGGGUCACCACAGCGGAAUGAACCGCCAACUGUUCUAGCAUAUGUUUUAUGCAGCGAAUGCCCUUCCAGCUUCAAACCAGUAUUGGGAAACACCCAUUCACACGCGCUAGUACACUACGGUCAAUUUAGAUUAUUCAAUUCCCCUAUAGCGCAUGUGUUUAGACUGUGGGGGAAACCG